rnacentral:rRNA from 1 species
UACGGAGGGUGCAAGCGUUAUCCGGAUUCACUGGGUUUAAAGGGUGCGUAGGCGGAUAAGUAAGUCCGUGGUGAAAUCCUGCAGCUUAACUGCAGAACUGCCAUGGAUACUAUUUAUCUUGAAUGUCGUGGAGGUUAGCGGAAUAUGUCAUGUAGCGGUGAAAUGCUUAGAUAUGACAUAGGACACCCAUUGCGAAGGCAGCUAACUACGCGAAUAUUGACGCUGAGGCACGAAAGCGUGGGGAUCAAACAGG